UACAGAGGGUGCGAGCGUUAAUCGGAAUUACUGGGCGUAAAGGGUGCGUAGGUGGUUGCAUAAGUUAGGUGUGAAAGUCCCGGGCUUAACCUGGGGAUUGCGCCUAAUACUGUGUAGCUAGAGUAUUGUAGAGGAAGGUGGAAUUUCCAGUGUAGCGGUGAAAUGCGUAGAUAUUGGAAGGAACAUCGGUGGCGAAGGCGACCUUCUGGACAGAUACUGACACUGAGGCACGAAAGCAUGGGGAGCAAACAGG
rnacentral:rRNA from 1 species